AAUUAUAAAUCCUGAAGGAUCAAUUAAUUGGUACAUAUACAGUUUAAUUAAAAAAAAAUAAAAAUAAAAAAUGAAAUAAUGUGCAUUCGCGUAAAGUUAGACCAAAUGCAUUUUUUCCAUACUCCUACCUAUCGUUAUAAAGGUAUAAAAAAAAGAUAGGUUAAGAGUUCACAUAGGUAAUAUAAACAAAUAAGUAAAUAUGUUCAUUAUUUCUCUUUUAAGAGAUAAUGUAGGUAUACAUUAUAAUAACUUUUUUACACAGUCGAAAUUAUAUUCAUAACAUUAGUAAAAUAACAUUUUAAUAUUUUUUUUAUAGGUUAUGUAUUGAAAUUGUUGGAAAAUUAUUUCAUGUUUUAGCUGGAAAACGACAUGGAGAAUUAUAUGCAAUACAAGAUAAUGAGCUCCAUCAAAUGAAUUCGAAUGAAACCAAACUGUUUACCAUCCAAAUUCGAUUGUCGGGCAGAUAGAAAACGAAAAUUCACUCAUAGUGAACCUCGGCCUGCAUUUGUGAAACGGCAAAGACUCACUAUUAUCAAGGAAAUUGAAGAGACGACUAAAAAUGAGAUGUGUCGUAUUAUUAUACCUUUGCCAUAUUGUAGUCAAGAUGUUCAGCCACUUGAAAAUAGGUGUAGUAAUGACAAAGCUAUCCAAGUAGCUCCAGCACAGGAACACAAAGGCAAGGCAAGUGUGUAUUGCCCCAUCACCCCUUAAUAUAUCUGAAGCAAGUACAAGUAAACAAUCAGAACAGUGAUGAGUCAAAUGCACCAGCAACAGAAGGAUCAGCUGUUGACUAUGAGUUAUCUCUCUAUAUCUCCACUCCAUCAAAGACUUGUGCACUUCAGAGUAUAGCUCUCAAGAAGACUACAAAAGUUGAAAAAAUGAAUCUGUUAACAACUUCAUCUAAAGUGAAAAAUAAACCACAUUUAUUUAUUGGACUUCCACAAGAAUUAUAUUUCAUAAUAGGCUUGAUUGAGAAACAUACAAAUGGUUCUGAACAAAAUAUUAUAUUAUGUUUGAUGAGAAUAAUAUUAAAUAGAACAUUCUCUCAAUUGGCUGAUGAUUUUGAUUUAUCUGUAAGUCAAGCAAGCAAUAUAUUUUUCAACAAACUCCCAGAAAUUGCAAAUGUAAUAUCACCCCUUGUUAAAAAAAAACAAUACAAUAAAUAUAUAUGCAGGAAGGAUAAUUGAUGUCAACUUUGUGGAAAAUAGAAAGUUUUUAGACAGUUUGCCACCUCUUACAAGACGCUGUAAUUAAAUAAGUAAUCCUUAGUAGGAAUUUUUGUAAGUAUUUUCACUUUUCAUUCAAAAACUACUGAACAGAUUUUAAUAAAACUUCUAUGCUGGUCUUCUAUGGCUAGCAACCAUCGAUGCUAGCAACUCAUUAUUAUUUUGAUUCUGUUUAUCACAAAUGUGCCAACUAUGGGCUUAUAUAUUAUAUGAAAAGGAAUAAGAUUAAUGUUAUGUAACCUUUGUACCUGUAAGUUAAGAAUAUUUUUUAAAUAAAACAUAUUUAAAUUGAAA